AUUGAACGCUGGCGGCAUGCCUUACACAUGCAAGUCGAACGGCAGCACGGGAGCAAUCCUGGUGUCGAGUGGCGAACGGGUGAGUAAUAUAUCGGAACGUGCCCAGUCGUGGGGAUAACGUAGCGAAAGCUACGCUAAUACCGCAUACGAUCUAUGGAUGAAAGCGGGGGAUCGCAAGACCUCGCGCGAUUGGAGCGGCCGAUAUCAGAUUAGGUAGUUGGUGAGGUAAAGGCUCACCAAGCCGACGAUCUGUAGCUGGUCUGAGAGGACGACCAGCCACACUGGGACUGAGACACGGCCCAGACUCCUACGGGAGGCAGCAGUGGGGAAUUUUUGGACAAUGGGCGCAAGCCUGAUCCAGCAAUGCCGCGUGCAGGAUGAAGGCCUCGGUUGUAACGU
rnacentral:rRNA from 1 species